rnacentral:rRNA from 1 species
AGAGUUUGAUCCUGGCUCAGGAUGAACGCUAGCGACAGGCUUAACACAUGCAAGUCGAGGGGCAGCGAGGGCGUAGCAAUACGCCUGUCGGCGACCGGCGCACUGGUGAGUAACACGUAUGCGACCUGCCCCCUACAGGGGUAUAACCCGUAGAAAUGCGGACUAAUCCCCCAUAGUCCUGGGUGCUGCAUGGCAUUCAGGGGAAAGGGUUUCCGGUAGGGGAUGGGCAUGCGGCGCAUUAGCUAGUUGGCGGGGCAACGGCCCACCAAGGCGACGAUGCGUAGGGGUUCUGAGAGGAAGGUCCCCCACACUGGUACUGAGACACGGACCAGACUCCUACGGGAGGCAGCAGUGAGGAAUAUUGGUCAAUGGGCGCAGGCCUGAACCAGCCAAGUCGCGUGAGGGAAGACGGUCCUACGGAUUGUAAACCUCUUUUGUCGGGGAGUAACGUGCGGGACGGGUCCCGUAUUGAGAGUACCCGAAGAAAAAGCAUCGGCUAACUCCGUGCCAGCAGCCGCGGUAAUACGGAGGAUGCGAGCGUUAUCCGGAUUUAUUGGGUUUAAAGGGUGCGCAGGCGGCGCGCCAAGUCAGCGGUCAAAGUUCCGGGCUCAACCCGGUGUCGCCGUUGAAACUGGCGUGCUCGAGUGCGUGCGAGGAAGGCGGAAUGCGUUGUGUAGCGGUGAAAUGCAUAGAUAUGACGCAGAACUCCGAUUGCGAAGGCAGCUUUCCAGCGCGCUACUGACGCUGAGGCACGAAAGCGUGGGGAUCGAACAGGAUUAGAUACCCUGGUAGUCCACGCAGUAAACGAUGACUACUAGCUUUCCGGGAUGAUUGAGUCCUGGGAGGCACAGCGAAAGCGUUAAGUAGUCCACCUGGGGAGUACGCCGGCAACGGUGAAACUCAAAGGAAUUGACGGGGGCCCG